GUUUGUAAAGUCCCGGACAACUCAAGAAUUGGCGAGGAGAUGUGAUACCCUUAUCAGGCUGGUGGAGAAAGAAAAUCAAGAAUUUGAUGAGCGUGAACGGCAAGCUCGGAAGGAUAAAAAACUUGCUAAGAAUCUGACUCCAACAAAGCGCUCCAUAGCAAAGACAUCAGCACCGGAAAGCCCUGCACCAACUUCUUUCAAGAAGCGGAAGCAAUCCUCUAUGGAUGACUUUGUGAGCUCAGGUCGGCGAAAGAAGUGAUAGAAGGUGUGUUCUCUUGUUUGUGGGUCAACUGAAGAAGUGAUCGGUUGCAGCUUUGAUGCUUUUUGGCCCUGGAGAACUUUGCUGGUAGCUGUCAUGUGGUUUAUGUUAUUGUUGCGUUAUCAAAUGGCUUAGACCAGUUCUGCAGAAAUCUAUUAUAGUGUAAUCAUGUCUGGAUCUCUUUAUUCCCCUAGAGUGUGCACUUGAGGAUUGUAGUAGUGUUUAUCCG
rnacentral:misc_RNA from 1 species